rnacentral:rRNA from 1 species
AACGUAGGACGCAAGCGUUAUCCGGAAUUACUGGGCGUAAAGCGCGUGUAGGUGGUUGCAUAAGUCACCGUUGAAAGCUCCCGGCUAAACUGGGAGAGGUGCGGUGAGACUGUGCGGCUAGAGUACGGGAGAGGGAUGCAGAAUUCCGGGUGUAGUGGUGAAAUGCGUAGAGAUCCGGAGGAAUACCAGAGGCGAAGGCGGCAUCCUGGCCUGAAACUGACACUGAGACGCGAAAGCAUGGGGAGCGAACGGG